rnacentral:rRNA from 1 species
CACGUAGUUAGCCGUCCCUUUCUGGUAAGAUACCGUCACAGUGUGAACUUUCCACUCUCACACUCGUUCUUCUCUUACAACAGAGCUUUACGAUCCGAAAACCUUCUUCACUCACGCGGCGUUGCUCGGUCAGACUUCCGUCCAUUGCCGAAGAUUCCCUACUGCUGCCUCCCGUAGGAGUCUGGGCCUGUCUCAGUCCCAGUGUGGCCGAUCACCCUCUCAGGUCGGCUAUGGUAUCGUCGCCUUGGUGAGCCGUUACCCCACCAACUAGCUAAUACAACGCAGGUCCAUCUGGUAGUGGUGCAAUUGCACCUUUUAAGCAAAUGUCAUGCAACAUCUACUGUUAUGCGGUAUUAGCUAUCGUUUCCAAUUACGUUACUCCCCCGCUACCAGGCUACGGUUACCUAACGUCGUUACCUCACCCGUUUCGACCAACUCACUCCAGUACGAACGC